rnacentral:rRNA from 1 species
GACGAACGCUGGCGGCGUGCCUAACACAUGCAAGUCGAACGGAUCCUUCGGGAUUAGUGGCGGACGGGUGAGUAACACGUGGGAACGUGCCCUUUGGUUCGGAACAACUCAGGGAAACUUGAGCUAAUACCGGAUGUGCCCUUCGGGGGAAAGAUUUAUCGCCAUUGGAGCGGCCCGCGUCUGAUUAGCUAGUUGGUGAGGUAAAGGCUCACCAAGGCGACGAUCAGUAGCUGGUCUGAGAGGAUGAUCAGCCACAUUGGGACUGAGACACGGCCCAAACUCCUACGGGAGGCAGCAGUGGGGAAUCUUGCGCAAUGGGCGAAAGCCUGACGCGGCCAUGCCGCGUGAAUGAUGAAGGUCUUAGGAUUGUAAAAUUCUUUCACCGGGGACGAUAAUGACGGUACUCGGAGAAGAAGCCCCGGCUAACUUCGUGCCAGCCGCCGCAGUAAGAC